AUUGAACGCUGGCGGCAGGCCUAAAACAUGCAAGUCGAGCGAGCGGCGGACGGGUGAGUAAUGUCUGGGAAACUGCCUGAUGGAGGGGGAUAACUACUGGAAACGGUAGCUAAUACCGCAUACCAUCAGAUGUGCACAGAUGGGAUUUGCUAGUGGGUGGGGUAAUGGCUCACCUAAGCGACGAUCCCUAGCUGGUCUGAGAGGCUAACCAGCGAAACUGGAACUGAACCACGGUCCAGACUCCUACGGUAGGCAGGGGUGGGGAAAAUUGGACAAUGGGCGCAAGCCUGAUGCGGUCAGGCCGCGUGUGUGAAAAAGGAAUUUGGGUUGUAAAGCACUUUCAGCGGGGAGGCGUUACCCGCAGAAGAAUCACCGGCUAACUCCGUGCCAGCAGCAGCGGUAAUAC
rnacentral:rRNA from 1 species